GGGUUGUGAGGUUAAGCGACUAAGCGUACACGGUGGAUGCCCUGGCAGUCAGAGGCGAUGAAGGGCGUGCUAAUCUGCGAUAAGCGCCGGUAAGGUGAUAUGAACCGUUAUAACCGGCGAUACCCGAAUGGGGAAACCCAGUGUGACUCGUCACACUAUCAUUAACUGAAUCCAUAGGUUAAUGAGGCGAACCGGGGGAACUGAAACAUCUAAGUACCCCGAGGAAAAGAAAUCAACCGAGAUUCCCCCAGUAGCGGCGAGCGAACGGGGAGGAGCCCAGAGCCUGAAUCAGCAUGUGUGUUAGUGGAAGCGUCUGGAAAGGCGCGCGAUACAGGGUGACAGCCCCGUACACAAAAGCGCAUGUGCUGUGAGCUCGAUGAGUAGGGCGGGACACGUGGUAUCCUGUCUGAAUAUGGGGGGACCAUCCUCCAAGGCUAAAUACUCCUGACUGACCGAUAGUGAACCAGUACCGUGAGGGAAAGGCGAAAAGAACCCCGGCGAGGGGAGUGAAAAAGAACCUGAAACCGUGUACGUACAAGCAGUGGGAGCCCCACCACUAAGCCAGUGGUGAACUCCACAUACGCAUCCUUUGCUGAGGAUGCGGUUAACGGAGCGAAAGCGACGUUCAACCGCAAAAGAAGCAGAGGGGGCUUAGUGGUGGGGUGACUGCGUACCUUUUGUAUAAUGGGUCAGCGACUUAUAUUCUGUAGCAAGGUUAACCGAAUAGGGGAGCCGGAGGGAAACCGAGUCUUAAUUGGGCGUUAAGUUGCAGGGUA
rnacentral:rRNA from 1 species